GUAGAAACAGGCUCCACAAUUUCUGGGCCUCCACAAUUAUUCAUCAUGGAAGGAAGCCAAGCUAGGAACUCAAACAGGUCAAGAACCUGAAGGCAGGAUCUGAUGCAGAGACCAUGGAAGAUGGUGUGAGGAAACACUGUGGUAAAGCACAAGAAACUGCCCAGGAGAGGAGACACAAACCACACCAAGAAGAGGAAGAGGCUCAGAGCAAAGCCGAAAAACUUGAGCUUCAAGCAGCUUGAAAAUCUCGGGGGAAGAAUCUGUGUCAGAGCUGGCCCUUGUAGAAGUUCUGGGCCACCCUCAGCAGCACAAACUCAGUGUGACUGUGGUGUUCCUGAUUGAAGCAGAGAGUUCCUGCCUCAAAUUCAGAUCUCUGCUGAGGCUACUGUUUCCUAGAGAAGGUUGGAAGUGAUGUUAUGUGAUUUCCAUGGCCAGAUUUAAAAACUAUGAGGAAAUCGUAAAUGAGAUGUGGCCCCGAUAUUUCUCUCAGUAUAUUUGCUAUUGGUAUGUAAGAAGGCUAUUGAC